UUGAACGCUGGCGGCAGGCCUAACACAUGCAAGUCGAGCGGAUGAAGGGAGCUUGCUCCUGGAUUCAGCGGCGGACGGGUGAGUAAUGCCUAGGAAUCUGCCUGGUAGUGGGGGAUAACGUCCGGAAACGGGCGCUAAUACCGCAUACGUCCUGAGGGAGAAAGUGGGGGAUCUUCGGACCUCACGCUAUCAGAUGAGCCUAGGUCGGAUUAGCUAGUUGGUGGGGUAAAGGCCUACCAAGGCGACGAUCCGUAACUGGUCUGAGAGGAUGAUCAGUCACACUGGAACUGAGACACGGUCCAGACUCCUACGGGAGGCAGCAGUGGGGAAUAUUGGACAAUGGGCAAAAGCCUGAUCCAGCCAUGCCGCGUGUGUGAAGAAGGUCUUCGGAUUGUAAAGCACCUUAAGUUGGGAGGAAGGGCAGUAAGUUAAUACCUUGCUGUUUUGACGUUACCAACAGAAUAAGCACCGGCUAACUUCGUG
rnacentral:rRNA from 1 species